rnacentral:rRNA from 1 species
AUGUUGCUGCGGUUAAAGGCUCGCAGUUGAAUGUCAGUUAUAAUACGCGAUGAGAUGCCGGGACGUUGUUCGUGUGGUGACCUCGUGUCUCGCUCGUUCCGUCCCCUGAGCGCAUUUCUCGCAAUCUAACAAUAAUUACGGAGCCCAUCGCGGAUGCGUAUAUGUGACUGUUGCUUUUGUGACUUUUGCAUGUGUUCGUGGUAGCUCUGUAGUUGACACCUUGAGUAAAUCAGAGUGCUUAACGCAGUCGUUUAAGUACCGGCGGCUCGUUCGUGCUUGUCGCGUUCAAGCUUGUCGGAGGCGGAUUUUAUCCGUUUAGACAUUGUCUUUGCUUUGCAUGGUACGUCGAAAGACGCCGUGUAAGUUGGUCGCGCUUACGGUUAGACACACAGCUUUGUGUGCGCGUGCACCAACGAGCACGGAAUGAUAUGAAAGGGAUGGUUCGAAGGCAUUGGUAUUGCGAGGCGAGAGGUGAAAUUCUAUGACCCUCGCAAGACUCCCCGAAGCGAAAGCGUCUGCCUAGGACGUCUUCAUUAAUCAUGAACGAAAGUUGAAGGAUCGAAGGCGAUCAGAUACCGCCCUAGUUUUAACCGUAAACUAUACCAACCAUCAAUCCGUCGGAGCGUUCCCUUACUCCCGUUGACUGGCUUACGCUGGGAUGCGUGGACAAGUGUAAGCUCGAUGGGCAGCUCCUCCACUACGGAAAACCAGAGUUUUUCGGUUCCGGGGGGAGUCUGGUUGCAAAGCUGAAACUUAAAGGAAUUGACGGAAAGGCACCACCAGGCGUGGAGCUUGCGGCUCAAUUUGACUCAACACGGGAAAUCUCACCAGACCCAAACAUCUUUAAUGACUGACAGACUGAAAGCUCUUUCUUGAUAAAGUGGAUGGUGGUGCAUGGCCGUUCUUAGUUGGUGGAGUGAUCUGUCUGGUUAAUUCCGAUAACGAACGAGACUCUCCCCUGCUAACGAACCUCGGUUCUUGUAGACAGUGUGAUUCGAAUCAUGGAUAUAUACUCGCGAGAGUUUAUCCUGACGAUGUCCACUGAUCCUUGUUGCGUCGGAAGUGGUUCUCGUUAUUGGCGUGCGUGUUUGGGAUGUACGUGGGGCUUGUCUUUGCGUUGCCCUUUCGCGUUUCUGCUGGUUCGGUCCCUAUCGGCUGCGGCUUGGAGUACGUUUCUUCUUAGAGGGAUUGUCGACUACUAAGUCGAAAGAAACAGAGAGCAAUAACAGGUCUGUGAUGCCCUUAGAUGUUCUGGGCUGCACGCGUGUUACAAUGCCGGGAUCAACGGGUAAUUACACAUCUCGUGUCCUACUCCGAAAGGAGCGGGUAAACCUUUGAAAUCCCUGACGCGUGAGAGACACGUUCUUUCCGCACUAUGGCUUGCUUGGGACUGGGGAUUGCAAUUAUUCCCCACGAACGAGGAAUGCCUUGUAGUGGCGAGUCACAGAGCUCGCUGCGACUCUGUCCCUGCCCUUUGUACACACCGCCCGUCGCUACUACCGAUUGAGUGUACCAGUGAGAUGCUUGGACUGGCGAACCGAUGUCGCAAGACUCGGCGUACGACACAAAGAGACUCGAACUGGUGCACUAGAGAA